UGGGGAAUUUUGGACAAUGGGGGAAACCCUGAUCCGGCCAUCCCGCGUGUGCGAUGAAGGCCUUCGGGUUGUAAAGCACUUUUGGCAGGAAAGAAACGUCAUGGGUUAAUACCCCGUGAAACUGACGGUACCUGCAGAAUAAGCACCGGCUAACUACGUGCCAGCAGCCGCGGUAAUACGUAGGGUGCAAGCGUUAAUCGGAAUUACUGGGCGUAAAGCGUGCGCAGGCGGUUCGGAAAGAAAGAUGUGAAAUCCCAGAGCUCAACUUUGGAACUGCAUUUUUAACUACCGGGCUAGAGUGUGUCAGAGGGAGGUGGAAUUCCGCGUGUAGCAGUGAAAUGCGUAGAUAUGCGGAGGAACACCGAUGGCGAAGGCAGCCUCCUGGGAUAACACUGACGCUCAUGCACGAAAGCGUGGGGAGCAAACAGG
rnacentral:rRNA from 1 species